rnacentral:rRNA from 1 species
GUCGAAAAUGUUGUCUCUCUUGAGUGGAUCCUGAGUACGACGGAGCACGUGAAAUUCCGUCGGAAUCUGGGAGGACCAUCUCCUAAGGCUAAAUACUCUCUAGUGACCGAUAGUGAACCAGUACCGUGAGGGAAAGGUGAAAAGCACCCCGGAAGGGGAGUGAAAUAGAACCUGAAACCGUGUGCUUACAAGUAGUCAGAGCCCGUUAAUGGGUGAUGGCGUGCCUUUUGUAGAAUGAACCGGCGAGUUACGAUUUGAUGCAAGGUUAAGCAGUAAAUGUGGAGCCGUAGCGAAAGCGAGUCUGAAUAGGGCGUUUAGUAUUUGGUCGUAGACCCGAAACCAGGUGAUCUACCCUUGGUCAGGUUGAAGUUCAGGUAACACUGAAUGGAGGACCGAACCGACUUACGUUGAAAAGUGAGCGGAUGAACUGAGGGUAGCGGAGAAAUUCCAAUCGAACCUGGAGAUAGCUGGUUCUCUCCGAAAUAGCUUUAGGGCUAGCCUCAAGUGAUGAUUAUUGGAGGUAGAGCACUGUUUGGACGAGGGGCCCCUCUCGGGUUACCGAAUUCAGACAAACUCCGAAUGCCAAUUAAUUUAACUUGGGAGUCAGAACAUGGGUGAUAAGGUCCGUGUUCGAAAGGGAAACAGCCCAGACCACCAGCUAAGGUCCCAAAAUAUAUGUUAAGUGGAAA